CGGCCCAGAACUUCCUUACCGGGAGGCAGCAGUGGGAUAUUGCCCAAUUGGGCGGAAUGCUUGAUGCAGCGACGCCCGCGUGGAAGGGAUGACGGCCUUCCGGUGUAACCUCCUUUUCAGUAAGGGAAGAAGCCCCUUUUUGGGGGUGACGGUACUUGCAGAAGAAGCGCCGGCUAACUACGUGCCAGCAGCCGCGGUAAUACGUAGGGCGCAAGCGUUAUCCGGAAUUAUUGGGCGUAAAGAGCUCGUAGGCGGUUUGUCGCGUCUGCCGUGAAAGUCCGAGGCUCAACCUCGGAUCUGCGGUGGGUACGGGCAGACUAGAGUGAUGUAGGGGAGACUGGAAUUCCUGGUGUAGCGGUGAAAUGCGCAGAUAUCAGGAGGAACACCGAUGGCGAAGGCAGGUCUCUGGGCAUUUACUGACGCUGAGGAGCGAAAGCAUGGGGAGCGAACAGGAUUAGAUACCCUGGUAGUCCAUGCCGUAAACGUUGGGCACUAGGUGUGGGGGACAUUCCACGUUUUCCGCGCCGUAGCUAACGCAUUAAGUGCCCCGCCUGGGGAGUACGGCCGCAAGGCUAAAACUCAAAGGAAUUGACGGGGGCCCGCACAAGCGGCGGAGCAUGCGGAUUAAUUCGAUGCAACGCGAAGAACCUUACCAAGGCUUGACAUGUUCCAGACCGGGCCAGAGAUGGUCUUUCCCCUUUUGGGGCUGGUUCACAGGUGGUGCAUGGUUGUCGUCAGCUCGUGUCGUGAGAUGUUGGGUUAAGUCCCGCAACGAGCGCAACCCUCGUUCCAUGUUGCCAGCGGGUUAUGCCGGGGACUCAUGGGAGACUGCCGGGGUCAACUCGGAGGAAGGUGGGGAUGACGUCAAAUCAUCAUGCCCCUUAUGUCUUGGGCUUCACGCAUGCUACAAUGGCCGGUACAAUGGGUUGCGAUACUGUGAGGUGGAGCUAAUCCCUAAAAGCCGGUCUCAGUUCGGAUUGGGGUCUGCAACUCGACCCCAUGAAGUCGGAGUCGCUAGUAAUCGCAGAUCAGCAACGCUGCGGUGAAUACGUUCCCGGGCCUUGUACACACCGCCCGUCAAGUCACGAAAGUUAGUACAC
rnacentral:rRNA from 1 species